AGACUGAACGCUGGCGGCAUGCCUAACACAUGCAAGUCGAACGGCAGCACAGCAGUAGCAAUACUGUGGGUGGCGAGUGGCGGACGGGUGAGGAAUACAUCGGAAUCUACCCUGUCGUGGGGGAUAACUAGCCGAAAGGUUAGCUAACACCGCAUACGACUGUGAGGUGAAAGCGGAGGACCUUCGGGCUUCGCGCGAUUGGAUGAGCCGAUGUCGGAUUAGCUAGUUGGCGGGUAAAGCCCACAAGGCGACGAUCCGUAGCUGGUCUGAGAGGAUGAUCAGCCACACUGGGACUGAGACACGGCCCAGACUCCAGGGAGCAGCAGUGGGAAUAGUUGGACAAGUGGGCGCAAGCCUGAUCCAGCAAUGCCGCGUGUGUGAAGAA
rnacentral:rRNA from 1 species